rnacentral:rRNA from 1 species
AUUGAACGCUGGCGGCAGGCUUAACACAUGCAAGUCGAACGGUAACAUAAAGAAGCUUGCUUCUUUGAUGACGAGUGGCGGACGGGUGAGUAAUGCUUGGGAAUCUAGCUUAUGGAGGGGGAUAACUACGGGAAACUGUAGCUAAUACCGCGUAGAAUCGAGAGAUGAAAGUGUGGGACCUUCGGGCCACAUGCCAUAGGAUGAGCCCAAGUGGGAUUAGGUAGUUGGUGAGGUAAAGGCUCACCAAGCCGACGAUCUCUAGCUGGUCUGAGAGGAUGACCAGCCACACUGGGACUGAGACACGGCCCAGACUCCUACGGGAGGCAGCAGUGGGGAAUAUUGCGCAAUGGGGGCAACCCUGACGCAGCCAUGCCGCGUGAAUGAAGAAGGCCUUCGGGUUGUAAAGUUCUUUCGGUAGCGAGGAAGGCAUUUAGUUUAAUAGACUAGGUGAUUGACGUUAACUACAGAAGAAGCACCGGCUAACUCCGUGCCAGCCGCCGCGGUAA